rnacentral:rRNA from 1 species
AGAGAAUUGAUCUUGGUCAGGAUGAACGCAGCGACAGGCCUAACACAUGCAAGUCGAGGGGCAGCGCGGAGUAGCAAUACGUUGGCGGCGACCGGCGCGACGGGUGAGUAACACGUAUCGCAACCAACCCAUAACAGGGGGAUAACCCGGAGAAAUCCGGACUAAUACCGCAUAAGACCACGAUAUCGCAUGAUAUAGAGGUCAAAUAUUUAUAGGUUAUGGACGGGCAUGCGUCUGAUUAGCUGGUUGGCGGGGUAACGCCCACCAAGGCAUCGAUCAGUAGGGGUUCUGAGAGGAAGGUCCCCCACAUUGGAACUGAGACACGGUCCAAACUCCUACGGGAGGCAGCAGUGAGGAAUAUUGGUCAAUGGGCGAAAGCCUGAACCAGCCAUGUCGCGUGAAAGGAUGAAGGUCCUAUGGAUUGUAAACUUCUUUUGCAGGAGGGUAAAGUGAGCUACGUGUAGUUCAUUGCAAGUACCCUGCGGAUAAGCAUCGGCUAACUCCGUGCCAGCCGCCGC